UCCUUUGUGGUGUGAACAGUUAACAUGCUCGGCUACUAACCAAAAGGUAGGUGGUUUGAAUCCACCCAAAGGCA
rnacentral:tRNA from 1 species